GCUGGCUUUGCAUUGGGUGCCUGUGCUCUGGCUGGCGGAGUGAGAGACGACAUUUCGCAUGGCUACUUUGUAAGCCUGUUGGAGGAAGAGGAGAGUGAUGACAGCCUUCCUGCUUGUGAGAAAGAAAGACGCUGUUUAGCUGCCAAGAUGAGGUGUUUGGCGUUGGGAGUGGGCUGUGAUGAAGAAUCCGAUUCUGGUGCUGAAACCCCCCCUGUACUGCUGGAGA